rnacentral:rRNA from 1 species
UACGGGGGGGCAAGCGUUGUUCGGAAUUACUGGGCGUAAAGGGUUCGUAGGUGGCCAACUAAGUCAGACGUGAAAUCCCUCAGCUUAACUGGGGAACUGCGUCUGAUACUGGUUGGCUUGAGUGCAGGAGAGGAAUGCGGAAUUCUAGGUGUAGCGGUGAAAUGCGUAGAUAUCUGGAGGAACACCGGUGGCGAAGGCGGCAUCCUGGACCGAUACUGACGCUGAGGAGCGAAAGCCAGGGGAGCAAAGCGGG